CACGUAGGGUGCGGAGCGUUGUCCGGAAUUACUGGGCGUAAAGCGUGCGCAGGCGGUUUUGUAAGCCAGAUGUGAAAUCCCCGGGCUUAACCUGGGAAUGGCAUUGGGACUGCAAGGCUUGGAGUGUGGCAGAGGAGACGUGGAGUUCCUGGUGUAGCAGUGAAAUGCGUAGAUAUCAGGAGGAAUACCGAUGGCGAAGGCAGGUCUCUGGGCUGACACUGACGCUCAUGCACGAAAGCGUGGGGAGC
rnacentral:rRNA from 1 species